rnacentral:rRNA from 1 species
GACGAAGGGGGCUAGCGUUGUUCGGAAUUACUGGGCGUAAAGCGAGUGUAGGCGGUUUCCCAAGUCAGGUGUGAAAGCCUUGAGCUCAACUCAAGAAAUGCACUUGGUACUGGGUGGCUAGAGGACCGGAGAGGAUAGUGGAAUUCCCAGUGUAGUGGUGAAAUACGUAGAGAUUGGGAAGAACACCAGUGGCGAAGGCGGCUAUCUGGACGGUUACUGACGCUAAGACUCGAAAGCGUGGGGAGCAAACAGG